rnacentral:rRNA from 1 species
AUCAACUUUCGAUGGUAGGAUAGAGGCCUACCAUGGUGGUAACGGGUAACGGGGAAUUAGGGUUCGAUUCCGGAGAGGGAGCCUGAGAAACGGCUACCACAUCCAAGGAUGGCAGCAGGCGCGCAAAUUACCCAAUCCCGACACGGGGAGGUAGUGACAAUAAAUAACAAUACGGGGUUCUUUCGGAUUUCGUAAUUGGAAUGAGUACAAUUUAAAUCUCUUAACGAGGAACAAUUGGAGGGCAAGUCUGGUGCCAGCAGCCGCGGUAAUUCCAGCUCCAAUAGCGUAUAUUAAAGUUGCUGCAGUUAAAAAGCUCGUAGUUGAAUUUCGGGACCAAUAUGUCGGUCGUGCCUCGGUACGUACUGGCAUCGUUGGUUUCUCCCUUCUGACGAACCAUGAUGUCAUUUAUUUGGUGUCGUGGGGAAUCAGGACUGUUACUUUGAAAAAAUUAGAGUGUUUAAAGCAGGCUCACGCUUGAAUACAUUAGCAUGGAAUAAUGAAAUAGGACGUUUGAUUCUAUUUUGUUGGUUUCUAGGAUCGACGUAAUGAUUAAUAGGGAUAGUUGGGGGCAUUAGUAUUCAAUUGUCAGAGGUGAAAUUCUUGGAUUUAUUGAAGACUAACUACUGCGAAAGCAUUUGCCAAGGAUGUUUUCAUUAAUCAAGAACGAAAGUUAGGGGAUCGAAGACGAUCANAUACCGUCNUAGUCUUAACCAUAAACUAUGCCGACUAAGGAUCGGAUGAUGUUANUUUUUUAGUGACUCAUUCCGCGCCUUUACGGGAAACCAAAGUUGUUUGGGUU